GUUUAAAUAUGUAUUAACUUUUCUCAUUCUAUUUGUCUUGCAACACAAUGGAAUCACAAUAGAUCCAACUAUUUGCACCGGUGAGUUAAAUUUCCUAAAAUUGUCCUAACCUCUUGGCAACAAAUAAAGUACAUCUUUCCCGGUUCUUGGUAGAAUGCUGUAUGUGCUUUUUCCAAUAGUUUUAAUUUUUGCCUGGCUGAAAAUUAUUUUUUUCAUGAAGUACAUAUCUCUUUGAAAACUUUGCAUGUAAUAUAAUCUGACCUAAAACCAAGGCCUGAACUUUAAGACAAAGAUGCUUUCUCUUUGAAAACAAUAUGAUUAAUUUAAUCUCAGUUUAUUUUUAACUGCAUGUGAAAAUAUUACUUUCUAGGCGGAAUGGGUAGCCUUGAAUUAUGUGCCGUUUGCUGAAAGGUCUUUAGAAGUAGUUGUGGAUUUAUACCAAAAAACAGCGUGUCACAAAGCAGUGGUGAAUGAGAAAGUGCUCCAGAAUAUUAUUAAGACUCUUAGGGUUCCUCUCAGUUUGAAGUAUUCCUGCCCUUCUGAAAGCACAUGGAAACUAGCAGUAUCCUCUCUCCUCAGAGUUCUUUCUAUUGGGCUACCUGUUGCCCGGCAGCAUGCUUCUUCUGG
rnacentral:lncRNA from 1 species